rnacentral:rRNA from 1 species
UCUGGUUGAUCCUGCCUGAACUGAUGUGUUCAUUUCAAAGAUUAAGCCAUGCAUGUAUAAGUUUAAUCGUUUUAACGAGAAACCGCGAACGGCUCAUUACAAUGGCCAUGAUUUACUUGAUCUUGAUUAUCUAAAUGGAUAACUGUGGAAAAGCUAGAGCUAAUACAUGCACCAAAGCUUUGUCCUCUCGGAAAAGCGCAUUUAUUAGAACAAAACCACGCGGCUUCGGCUGCUUCUUGUUGACUCAGAAUAACUAAGCUGACCGCAUGGCCUUGUGCCGGCGGCGUGUCUUUCAAGCGUCCACUUUAUCAACUUGACGGGAGCAUAAUCGACUCCCGUGGUGGUGACGGAUAACGGAGGAUCAGGGUUCGACUCCGGAGAAGGGGCCUGAGAAAUGGCCACUACGUCUAAGGAUGGCAGCAGGCGCGCAAAUUACCCACUCUCGGCUCGAGGAGGUAGUGACGAGAAAUAACGAGAUCGUUCUCUUUGAGGCCGGUCAUCGGAAUGGGUACAAUUUAAACCCUUUAACGAGUAUCAAGCAGAGGGCAAGUCUGGUGCCAGCAGCCGCGGUAAUUCCAGCUCUGCUAAUACAUAGAAUUAUUGCUGCGGUUAAAAAGCUCGUAGUUGGAUUCGUAUCGGUACCCUGGAACCCUCCGGGUGUUUCUGGGUGUUAUCGGUUUAUCGUAAUGUUCGGUUUUGAGUCCUUAACAGGAUUCUUAACAGGCAUUGCAAGUUUACUUUGAACAAAUCAGAGUGCUUCAAACAGGCGUUUUCGCUUGAAUGAUCGUGCAUGGAAUAAUAGAAAACGAUUUCGGUUCAGUUUUUAUUGGUUUUACGGACUGAGAUAAUGGUUAACAGAGACAAACGGGGGCAUUUGUAUGGCCCCGUGAGAGGUGAAAUUCUUGGACCGUGGCCAGACAAACUACAGCGAAAGCAUUUGCCAAGAAUGUCUUCAUUAAUCAAGAACGAAAGUCAGAGGUUCGAAGGCGAUCAGAUACCGCCCUAGUUCUGACCGUAAACGAUGCCAACUAGCGAUCCGCCGAUGGAAAUUAUAUUGCCUUGGUGGGGAGCUUCCCGGAAACGAAAGUCUUCCGGUUCCGGGGGAAGUAUGGUUGCAAAGCUGAAACUUAAAGGAAUUGACGGAAGGGCACCACCAGGAGUGGAGCCUGCGGCUUAAUUUGACUCAACACGGGGAAACUCACCCGGCCCGGACACUGUGAGGAUUGACAGAUUGAUAGCUUUUUCAUGAUUCAGUGGAUGGUGGUGCAUGGCCGUUCUAGUUCGUGGAGUGAUUUGUCUGGUUUAUCCGAUAACGAGCGAGACUCUAACCUACUAAAUGCUGGUACAUAAUUUACGUGUAUACAGCUUCUUAGA